rnacentral:rRNA from 1 species
AUGAACGCUGGCGGCGUGCCUAAUACAUGCCAGUCGAGCGAACGGACGAGAAGCUUGCUUCUCUGAUGUUAGCGGCGGACGGGUGAGUAACACGUGGAUAACCUACCUAUAAGACUGGGAUAACUUCGGGAAACCGUAGCUAAUACCGGAUAAUAUUUUGAACCGCAUGGUUCAAAAGUGAAAGACGGUCUUGCUGUCACUUAUAGAUGGAUCCGCGCUGCAUUAGCUAGUUGGUAAGGUAACGGCUUACCAAGGCAACGAUGCAUAGCCGACCUGAGAGGGUGAUCGGCCACACUGGAACUGAGACACGGUCCAGACUCCUACGGGAGGCAGCAGUAGGGAAUCUUCCGCAAUGGGCGAAAGCCUGACGGAGCAACGCCGCGUGAGUGAUGAAGGUCUUCGGAUCGUAAAACUCUGUUAUUAGGGAAGAACAUAUGUGUAAGUAACAGUGCACAUCUUGACGGUACCUAAUCAGAAAGCCACGGCUAACUACGUG